GGUUAAGCGACUAAGCGUACACGGUGGAUGCCCUGGCAGUCAGAGGCGAUGAAGGACGUGCUAAUCUGCGAAAAGCGUCGGUAAGGUGAUAUGAACCGUUAUAACCGGCGAUGUCCGAAUGGGGAAACCCAGUGUGAUUCGUCACACUAUCGUUAACUGAAUACAUAGGUUAACGAGGCGAACCGGGGAACUGAAACAUCUAAGUACCCCGAGGAAAAGAAAUCAACCGAGAUUCCCCAGUAGCGGCGAGCGAACGGGGAGCAGCCCAGAGUCUGAAUCAGCUUGUGUGUUAGUGGAACGGUCUGGAAAGUCCGACGGUACAGGGUGAUAGUCCCGUACACCAAAAUGCACAGGUUGUGAACUCGAAGAGUAGGGCGGGACACGUGGUAUCCUGUCUGAAUAUGGGGACCAUCCUCCAAGGCUAAAUACUCCUGACUGACCGAUAGUGAACCAGUACCGUGAGGGAAAGGCGAAAAGAACCCCGGCGAGGGAGUGAAAAAGAACCUGAAACCGUGUACGUACAAGCAGUGGGAGCACCUUCGGGUGUGACUGCGUACCUUUGUAUAAUGGGUCAGCGACUUAUAUUCUGUAGCAAGGUUAACCGUAUAGGGAGCCGCAGGGAAACCGAGUCUUAACUGGGCGUUAAGUUGCAGGGUAUAGACCCGAAACCCGGUGAUCUAGCCAUGGGCAGGUUGAAGGUUGGGUAACACUAACUGGAGGACCGAACCGACUAAUGUUGAAAAAUUAGCGGAUGACUUGUGGCUGGGGUGAAAGGCCAAUCAAACCGGGAGAUAGCUGGUUCUCCCGAAAGCUAUUUAGGUAGCGCCUCGUGAAUUCAUCUUCGGGGUAGAGCACUGUUUCGGCUAGGGGUCAUCCCGACUUACCAACCCGAUGCAAACUACGAAUACCGAAGAAUGUUAUCACGGGAGACACACGGCGGGUGCUAACGUCCGUCGUGAAGAGGGAAACAACCCAGACCGCCAGCUAAGGUCCCAAAGUCAUGGUUAAGUGGGAAACGAUGUGGGAAGGCACAGACAGCCAGGAUGUUGGCUUAGAAGCAGCCAUCAUUUAAAGAAAGCGUAAUAGCUCACUGGUCGAGUCGGCCUGCGCGGAAGAUGUAACGGGGCUAAACCAUGCACCGAAGCUGCGGCAGCGACACUAUGUGUUGUUGGGUAGGGGAGCGUUCUGUAAGCCUGCGAAGGUGACCUGUGAGGGUUGCUGGAGGUAUCAGAAGUGCGAAUGCUGACAUAAGUAACGAUAAAGCGGGUGAAAAGCCCGCUCGCCGGAAGACCAAGGGUUCCUGUCCAACGUUAAUCGGGGCAGGGUGAGUCGACCCUAAGGCGAGGCCGAAAGGCGUAGUCGAUGGGAAACAGGUUAAUAUUCCUGUACUUGGUGUUACUGCGAAGGGGGACGGAGAAGGCUAUGUUAGCCGGGCGACGGUUGUCCCGGUUUAAGCAUGUAGGCUGGUUAUCCAGGCAAAUCCGGAUAAUCAAGGCUGAGGUGUGAUGACGAGGCACUACGGUGCUGAAGUAACAAAUGCCCUGCUUCCAGGAAAAGCCUCUAAGCAUCAGGUAACAUCAAAUCGUACCCCAAACCGACACAGGUGGUCAGGUAGAGAAUACCAAGGCGCUUGAGAGAACUCGGGUGAAGGAACUAGGCAAAAUGGUGCCGUAACUUCGGGAGAAGGCACGCUGGUGUGUAGGUGAAGUCCCUGCGGAUGGAGCUGAGACCAGUCGAAGAUACCAGCUGGCUGCAACUGUUUAUUAAAAACACAGCACUGUGCAAACACGAAAGUGGACGUAUACGGUGUGACGCCUGCCCGGUGCCGGAAGGUUAAUUGAUGGGGUUAUCCGUAAGGAGAAGCUCUUGAUCGAAGCCCGGUAAACGGCGGCCGUAACUAUAACGGUCCUAAGGUAGCGAAAUUCCUUGUCGGGUAAGUUCCGACCUGCACGAAUGGCGUAAUGAUGGCCAGGCUGUCUCCACCCGAGACUCAGUGAAAUUGAACUCGCUGUGAAGAUGCAGUGUACCCGCGGCAAGACGGAAAGACCCCGUGAACCUUUACUAUAGCUUGACACUGAACAUUGAGCCUUGAUGUGUAGGAUAGGUGGGAGGCUUUGAAGCGUGGACGCCAGUCUGCGUGGAGCCAACCUUGAAAUACCACCCUUUAAUGUUUGAUGUUCUAACGUUGGCCCCUGACCGGGGUUGCGGACAGUGUCUGGUGGGUAGUUUGACUGGGGCGGUCUCCUCCCAAAGCGUAACGGAGGAGCACGAAGGUUAGCUAAUCCUGGUCGGACAUCAGGAGGUUAGUGCAAUGGCAUAAGCUAGCUUGACUGCGAGCGUGACGGCGCGAGCAGGUGCGAAAGCAGGUCAUAGUGAUCCGGUGGUUCUGAAUGGAAGGGCCAUCGCUCAACGGAUAAAAGGUACUCCGGGGAUAACAGGCUGAUACCGCCCAAGAGUUCAUAUCGACGGCGGUGUUUGGCACCUCGAUGUCGGCUCAUCACAUCCUGGGGCUGAAGUAGGUCCCAAGGGUAUGGCUGUUCGCCAUUUAAAGUGGUACGCGAGCUGGGUUUAGAACGUCGUGAGACAGUUCGGUCCCUAUCUGCCGUGGGCGCUGGAGAAUUGAGGGGGCUGCUCCUAGUACGAGAGGACCGGAGUGGACGCAUCACUGGUGUUCGGGUUGUCAUGCCAAUGGCACUGCCCGGUAGCUAAAUGCGGAAGAGAUAAGUGCUGAAAGCAUCUAAGCACGAAACUUGCCCCGAGAUGAGUUCUCCCUGAGACUUUAAGUCUCCUGAAGGAACGUUGAAGACGACGACGUUGAUAGGCCGGGUGUGUAAGCGCAGCGAUGCGUUGAGCUAACCGGUACUAAUGAACCGUGAGGCUUAACCUU
rnacentral:rRNA from 1 species